CUAUACAUGCAAGUCGAACGAACUCUGGUAUUGAUUGGUGCUUGCAUCAUGAUUUACAUUUGAGUGAGUGGCGAACUGGUGAGUAACACGUGGGAAACCUGCCCAGAAGCGGGGGAUAACACCUGGAAACAGAUGCUAAUACCGCAUAACAACUUGGACCGCAUGGUCCGAGNUUGAAAGAUGGCUUCGGCUAUCACUUUUGGAUGGUCCCGCGGCGUAUUAGCUAGAUGGUGGGGUAACGGCUCACCAUGGCAAUGAUACGUAGCCGACCUGAGAGGGUAAUCGGCCACAUUGGGACUGAGACACGGCCCAAACUCCUACGGGAGGCAGCAGUAGGGAAUCUUCCACAAUGGACGAAAGUCUGAUGGAGCAACGCCGCGUGAGUGAAGAAGGGUUUCGGCUCGUAAAACUCUGUUGUUAAAGAAGAACAUAUCUGAGAGUAACUGUUCAGGUAUUGACGGUAUUUAACCAGAAAGCCACGGCUAACUACGUGCCAGCAGCCGCGGUAAUACGUAGGUGGCAAGCGUUGUCCGGAUUUAUUGGGCGUAAAGCGAGCGCAGGCGGUUUUUUAAGUCUGAUGUGAAAGCCUUCGGCUCAACCGAAGAAGUGCAUCGGAAACUGGGAAACUUGAGUGCAGAAGAGGACAGUGGAACUCCAUGUGUAGCGGUGAAAUGCGUAGAUAUAUGGAAGAACACCAGUGGCGAAGGCGGCUGUCUGGUCUGUAACUGACGCUGAGGCUCGAAAGUAUGGGUAGCAAACAGGAUUAGAUACCCUGGUAGUCCAUACCGUAAACGAUGAAUGCUAAGUGUUGGAGGGUUUCCGCCCUUCAGUGCUGCAGCUAACGCAUUAAGCAUUCCGCCUGGGGAGUACGGCCGCAAGGCUGAAACUCAAAGGAAUUGACGGGGGCCCGCACAAGCGGUGGAGCAUGUGGUUUAAUUCGAAGCUACGCGAAGAACCUUACCAGGUCUUGACAUACUAUGCAAAUCUAAGAGAUUAGACGUUCCCUUCGGGGACAUGGAUACAGGUGGUGCAUGGUUGUCGUCAGCUCGUGUCGUGAGAUGUUGGGUUAAGUCCCGCAACGAGCGCAACCCUUAUUAUCAGUUGCCAGCAUUAAGUUGGGCACUCUGGUGAGACUGCCGGUGACAAACCGGAGGAAGGUGGGGAUGACGUCAAAUCAUCAUGCCCCUUAUGACCUGGGCUACACACGUGCUACAAUGGAUGGUACAACGAGUUGCGAACUCGCGAGAGUAAGCUAAUCUCUUAAAGCCAUUCUCAGUUCGGAUUGUAGGCUGCAACUCGCCUACAUGAAGUCGGAAUCGCUAGUAAUCGCGGAUCAGCAUGCCGCGGUGAAUACGUUCCCGGGCCUUGUACACACCGCCCGUCACACCAUGAGAGUUUGUAACACCCAAAGUCGGUGGGGUAACCUUUUAGGAACCAGCCGCCUAAG
rnacentral:rRNA from 2 species